rnacentral:lncRNA from 1 species
UUUUUUUUUUUUUUUUGGCUAUAGAGAUAAGACUUCUAACAGAGGAUGCAACAUGGUGUUUUCUUGACAAGUUCUCUCUUUGGGGGGUGAAAUCACAAUAAAUACAUUUGCUAAAAACCCUAUCAAAAUUUUAAAUAUAUUUAACAGUGCAUUUCACAUUCAAAGUUUGUAAGAUUUAGAUGUUUAGUUCAGGGAUUUGGUCAAGAGUUUUGAGCUCUGAGGUUCAACACCCUCAUGAAUGCCUCAGUUUACCACUUGGAAGAGUGCUUCCAUUUUCUUCCUUCCACACUCCUCCACCCUGGUAGGUGGUGCAGCCUCAAAUGACCUACGAGCCAACAGACUCAUGAGUUGGAACUCAUCUGAAGCCCCACAAUCCAUUGAUAGCAAAUCUGGAAUAUGCCAAGACAUCCAGGGUACCCUGUACUCUGCCACCGGCACCCUCAACUGCCAUCCUCAGCUGAAAGAUGAUUAAUUUUCAGUUAUUCUGGAAACUGGCUCUGCUGAUUGAAACUCUGAUGCACAGUUGACGGAUACUCACCUUCCUAAUACAGAGAAACACUGGUUACCUAAGUCAUAACCAAAAUGUCUACGAACAAAUCAAAUUUGCUCAACAAACCUAGAGCCUCAAGAAUACAUGGUAUUUCCUUCCAGGGUUAAUUAGCUGGAAAGAAAGGUUAAUAUGAUCGGGAUUGUGUUCCCUGGUGGUAAAAUUUUUCAGUUGACUGCUGGAAGGAGAGAGAGCAAAAGCUGAAUGUUGUGCACGUAAGCCCAGGAGAACCCUAAGGGACCUCGGAACACUGCAAUGCUCAGGUGCUAUUUUAACAGUACUACGCACUAGAGACACGGUUAUUUACCUCCAGGAGGUCACCACCUGAGAAGUUGGGUACAAACACUCUCAAGGUAGAGGUUGAGAAAGGGCUGUGAGAGAAUGGAAAGCAGUGAAGGGACUGUGCCUGAGGCAGAUCAGUAAAUAACUGGGUGGGGGUGUGACUUGCCACCUUGCAGAAGGGCUGGCGAGGGCUGGCGUUACAGAGAAAAGAGGUUAGAAGGCCCCAGGAGGCAGAGCAGGAGUAAAGUAUGUGAGAAUGAGUAGGAUACCAUGUGGCAUAUCCAGGAAAUGGGAUAGUCAGUAUUAUCAGAGUGAAUGGAAGAAGUCACAAAAACAGAGACAAAAAGGGCUGUUUGUGGGCAGGCCACUCAGGGCCACUACACUUACCCUACAGUUUCGACAUCUGUUUUAGGAAGAACACUCUGGUCUUCCACUGAAAAGGUGAACUGAACACGUGAGAUGGGAGCCUAUUCUGUCAGAGACUGUUGCCACAGUCGAUGCCCUCCUGCACAUUUUCCUCCCAACGGAAGGGACGUAGACACUCCUGCCAUCAAGCGAUCCUCUCGCCUUGAACCUGGGCAGGCCUGGGUGAUGGCUCAAGGAGUAUCAGAGGAGUGGCUUCUAUAUAAGAUGCCACUUUAUUUGCGUGUAUACUCCUGGAAUGCAUCCAGCAUGCUGCGAGGAGGCCCGGGCCACACGGAAAGGUCACGUCAGGGUCCAUACUGCCAACCAGCACCAAUCACUAGACAGGAUAGGAAGCCUGUUCUGGGGACUCUAGCUCCAGCUACUUUCUGAGUGCAACCACAAGAGCCCUCCAGAGAGAACCUCCUAUCUCAACCCCCUAGAACUGCAAGAUGGUGAUGUUAAAAAGUGUUUUUUUAAGCUAUUGAGUUGGGAUGUGGUUAGUUACGCAGUGAUACCCAGAAAACAUGCAUUUCUUGGCUCUUUUCCAAAACCUACUAAAAGGACAGUAAAUGAAUAAAAAGAUAUAACCUAAAAGACAAAGAAAAGGCACAGGAUAUCAAAAUGGUCAACUCAUUUUUGGAGGAUACAUGCAUGGACAGCAGCAGCUGAAUUAGCAGAGAAAACUAAUACUGAAGUGCCUGCCGGGAGGGACUCCAGUGAGACACAAGGGCCAGCCCUUGCUCUCAAGAAGCUUGGAGAUUGGAGGCACGGGCGUCUGGGAAGGCUAGAGUGGAACCAACAAGAGGAUGAGUUGAGAGUCUUUGUAAGCAGUCAUGAGACCCUCAGAUCCCCUGAGCCCAACUCUAUAGAGACAAGUGACUGCCCUUCCCCACCCUGACAGGAGACAGUAAACGUGUGCUCCGGAAGAAUGAGAACUAUGGCAUUCAACCUGGAGACAUGGGCUCAGGACUGCCAAAUUCCCUUUCCAUGACAGAUUAAAAUGUAUGUUCUAUAAAAGGAAUUGAAAUUCUGAGUUCAAGUGUUUUUAUUGUAAGACCACCACUGAAUGGUGUUCUAAUCUGAAAGGGGCUGAAAAGACCUAUGUGACAGCCUUUCAGUGGCCCUGGCUCAGUUCAGAUUUUAUGUGAUUAGUCAAAGGUUCCAAACUAGUUCUGAGACCCAGAACCAUGUUUAAGAGAUAAUGUUUGGCCUGCACAUUUAAAACUCCAUUUGUAUAUUACCAAUAUUUGAAAGUCAGAUUUCAUUUGCAAAUCUGGGUUUCUGGCUUCUCUUGAAAUAUGCAUUUCUGGCUGCAUUCCAGAUGCUGAGAGGGGGCUUGUCCCUUUUAUUUAAAUUAUUUUUUAAUUUUUUUUAUUAUUUUAUUUUUUGGGGGGGCUGUCCCUUUAAGUCUAGUGAGCUCUCCAGGUGUCUCGGUGACCAGUUAACAUACCAAUAGGGUUUAUCUCAGCUUACAGACCAGCUUUAGAAUACCUGCCAGACCCAACCCACACUGUCCCCACUUUAGGCAUCUUUCACUUCAGCCCUAAGCAAUGCAAAGCCAUUAAAGAACUUUAUUAACAGAAUAAAGCUAGAAAUGGCUGUUUCAGAUCACUCAGGUAGUAGAGGGGAGGGAAGAAGGAAGGAAGGGUGGGUAGGGAGGGGGCACCUGGUAGAGUUGCUUUGGAAGGUUAGGAAGCCAUGACAGAGGGAAGACCUAGAGAACAGUGGAGGAGCAGCCAAAUGUGACCCAGAGCCUCCCCAAGGUGAAAGCCAAGACCCAAAGCAAAGCACAGAAGGCUUUUCCAAAGGACUUUUGGCUUUGAGGUGUUUGAGGUGCCUUUUCUGGCCUGUAAUGAACAGGCUGUGAGGCUGAUAUAAUCUCUUCAAGAAACUCAAGGAGUGGGACACCUGGGUGGCUCAGUGGUUGAGUGUCUGCCUUUGGCUCAGGUCAUGAUUCCUGGGUCCUGGGAUCGAGUCCCACAUCGGGCUUCCUGCAUGGAGCCUGCUUCUCCCUCUGCCUGUGUCUCUGCCUCUCUCUCUGUGUCUCUCAUGAAUACAUAAAUAAGAUCUUUAAAAAAACAAAAA